rnacentral:rRNA from 1 species
AGACAGCAGUAGCCGCGGUAAUACGUAGGUCCCGAGCGUUGUCCGGAUUUAUUGGGCGUAAAGCGAGCGCAGGCGGUUAGAUAAGUCUGAAGUUAAAGGCUGUGGCUUAACCAUAGUAUGCUUUGGAAACUGUUUAACUUGAGUGCAGAAGGGGAGAGUGGAAUUCCAUGUGUAGCGGUGAAAUGCGUAGAUAUAUGGAGGAACACCGGUGGCGAAAGCGGCUCUCUGGUCUGUAACUGACGCUGAGGCUCGAAAGCGUGGGGAGCAAACAGGAUUAGAUACCCCGGUAGUCCCUGUCUCUUAUACA